AUGCUCCACAGGUGGCAAGGUGAAGAGCUUUUCCUUUGGCCCACACAAGGAGACAAGAGCUCAUUACCAGUGCUAAAGGAACACAGGACUGGUCCAAUCUUUCACAUCCAAGUUGCCUUGAUAAAUUACUCCAAGUGUUUGGAUCCUCAUUCUUCAGCACAGCAUCUCUAUGUGCCAGCACUCAUACUGUAUGGGGCAGGACUUGUUUAUUAAGGAAAAAAAUGAGUGAACAAAAAUGGAAAUGCAGUGGAAUAUAACAUAAGGAAAUGGCAAACUUCUUCCCUUUCAGCAGUUUUGGCAUUACUUCCAUGCUGCCUGCAAACAAUAAGCCCCAUCAUUUACCCCUUGACUACACUCAUCAAGUAAGCCCAAUGGUUUGAAUUAGUCCAAAUAUUUCCUUAAGGUUGAUCUCCUUUCCCAAAGGACCCGUUUGCUUUGUUUUAACCAGGAAGUGCCACCAUGUAGUUUGGUUUAAGGAUUCACUUUCUUAAGUUAGGCAGGGAUUCUCCAAACUUUGUUCAUCUUUGCAUUUCCUUUUGCCACCAACUUCUGAUCCUUCUCUGCCUUCACAUGCUUAUCUACAUCAGUUCAUGUAGUGGUAUAUUUAGACCAUUAUCCUUCACUGGAGAAUUUUGUUUGCAUUGUACCCUGCAACAACAUUUUCCUUGGAGAAGACUGAAGAGCAUUUGAGGAACUCCAGCAGAAACGCAGCAGUUCAGAAAUACACUCAUCAUGACAAACUGAGUAAUUUCUUCUAUAGAACUCUGGAAAGAUCACGACCAGUACAACCUCAAGUACAAGUGCUUUUUUGGUCCCAUGAGAAGAACCACAAGACUUUCUUGGCGAAAGAUGGCUUUUCCCCAUAUCCAACAGAGAAUAAAAGUGUUCUCAGAUGCUUCCA
rnacentral:lncRNA from 14 species